AUACGUAGGGGGCGAGCGUUGUCCGGAAUGAUUGGGCGUAAAGGGCGCGUAGGCGGCCUGUUAAGUCUGGAGUGAAAGUCCUGUUUUCAAGAUGGGAAUUGCUUUGGAUACUGAUGGGCUUGAGUGCAGGAGAGGUUAUCGGAAUUCCCGGUGUAGCGGUGAAAUGCGUAGAGAUCGGGAGGAACACCAGUGGCGAAGGCGGGUAACUGGACUGCAACUGACGCUGAGGCGCGAAAGUGUGGGGAGCAAACAGGAUUAGAUACCCUGGUAGUCCACACUGUAAACGAUGAAUGCUAGGUGUAAGAGGUAUCGACCCCUUUUGUGCCGGAGUCAACACAAUAAGCAUUCCGCCUGGGGAGUACGGCCGCAAGGUUGAAACUCAAAGGAAUUGGCGGGG
rnacentral:rRNA from 1 species